UACGUAGGGUGCGAGCGUUAUCCGGAAUCAUUGGGCGUAAAGAGCUCGUAGGCGGUUCAGCAAGUCGGCUGUGAAAGUCCGAGGCUCAACCUCGGAAUUGCAGUCGAUACUGCUGUGACUCGAGUCCGGUAGAGGAGAAUGGAAUUCUCGGUGUAGCGGUGAAAUGCGCAGAUAUCGAGAGGAACACCAGUAGCGAAGGCGGUUCUCUGGGCCGGCACUGACGCUGAGGAGCGAAAGCGUGGGGAGCAAACAGGAUUAGAUACCCUUGUAGUCC
rnacentral:rRNA from 1 species